CAGUAGCCACGGGAAUACGUAGGGUGCAAGCGUUAAUCGGAAUUACUGGGCGUAAAGCGUGCGCAGGCGGUUUGUUAAGACAGAUGUGAAAUCCCCGGGCUCAACCUGGGAACUGCAUUUGUGACUGGCAGGCUAGAGUAUGGCAGAGGGGGGUGGAAUUCCGCGUGUAGCAGUGAAAUGCGUAGAUAUGCGGAGGAACACCGAUGGCGAAGGCAGCCCCCUGGGCCAAUACUGACGCUCAUGCACGAAAGCGUGGGGAGCAAACAGGAUUAGAGACCCCAGUAGUCCCUGUCUCUUAUAC
rnacentral:rRNA from 1 species